GGGGCUGAGGCUCAGUGGUAGAGCACUUGCCUAGCAUGUAUGAGGCACUGGGUUCAAUCCUCAGCACCACA
rnacentral:tRNA from 1 species